ensembl:lncRNA
UGAUGAUCCAACGGACGUUGGCAAUUUGAUCUCUUUUUAGGUAUCAUUUACGUUUUUAGCAAGAGUCAGACUGAUACUGCCACAUCUUUCUUGGAGACUUUUCCACGGUUUAACUAUAAGUAUCAGCGAGAGAAAGUAGUUUUGGAGUUGGUUCCUGGAUCUUAGCAAUGCCGAAUUUUCUGAUUUUCUGUCAUACAUCAACAAGAAUCAGUCAUAGAACAUAAUUGUCACUAUUGGUCACAUUACCAAGGCUUUGACUGAAAUGCCACAUUUGAGAGAAGAAUGCAUGGACUCAGAUAUGACCAGUCAACUUUAAGGAACUAAGGAUGACUUUAUGGAGCCAAAUUUCCCCUUGGAAAAAACAUGCAGUGGUAUCCUUACAGGAUUCCCAGUAGCCUUACCAGAAUCAUAGAAAAUUGAAGACCCCCUUAUCCUGAAGCCCUGAAAACUGAAGCUGGACUGCAUGAUAUAAACUUAAGAGAGAGCACCACAAUAGCCCAUGUUUUGACAAUCUGUGCCUUUUGCUGUGUACUCAGCUCAGAAAGUUUAUCCUAACAUCAAUGACAUCACGAGAGACAUUCAAACUACAGACCAGGAAAUUAUGUCAGAUGGUCACUUUCUACCCUCACUUCAUCUCAAGAUGCUUCAAGCCUGACAUCUAGAAAUGUUCUUGAUUGAGAGUUCUCAGGACUCCGACAAUGGAUUAUAAUUUGCUCCAAUCACUAACUGUUGUUUUUCUUUGGUUUUCGUAGAAACGCAUCUUUUUAAAAUUUGCUUGCACCUUAUAGGCCUAGCUUUGGAAGCCACCUGACUCAUAGCCUCCUGAAACGAAUAUAAUUGUAUCGAUUCAUUAUCAGGACUAUGGGGCUGACUUAGUGAGGUGGAACAAUCUACCAACUCAGCUUCUGGACUGUGAGGCUUCUUGGAGAAGUUUCAAAGGCAGGACUGUAAAGGAGCAAAAUUUGGCACCACAAAAUAUAUCUUUUUGGCAUGAGGAUUAAUUUAUGCUAAUUAUUUUUAAGAAACAGAGGACUCAGUAAAUCUUUCUUUUUACCUCUCUCUUAAAUGCUUACAGAAUUUGGAUCAAAGAAUAGUUCCAUCACCUGGGAUGGAGAUGCUGUGGUAUGCUGUGGUGGGGGAACCAGCAGGUUAGAGUCCACUCUGUAUCCCGGGGUCUCUGCAGGGAGCAGAAAACACCUGCUCUAUCAUCUCCAUGUGAACUGCCUUCCUGCCAGCUGAAGUCCCAAACUCCUACCCCAACACCCUCUUUUGCUGUUAGCUGAAGAUUGCAUUUAAGGUGAGGAUUUCAGCCUUUUCAGCCAGUUACUUAGUUUUCUUGGGUCUCUGCUAUGUACUUAUAAGUUAAUCCUCAGGCCAGCCAGACCUAGAAAGUUGGAAGGAAAUACUUCCUUCCCAACAAUUCUGUAGCUUGGCUGUCGACAGGUGUACAGGUUAUGCAAUGCCAUCUUUCCAUGUGUGCUCACUUGUGUCUAACUCUUUG